CUACGGGUGGCUGCAGUGAGGAAUAUUGCACAAUGGGGGGAACCCUGAUGCAGCAACGCCGCGUGGAGGAUGACGCAUUUCGGUGUGUAAACUCCUUUUAUAUGUCAAGAAAAUGACGGUAGCAUAUGAAUAAGCACCGGCUAACUCCGUGCCAGCAGCCGCGGUAAUACGGAGGGUGCAAGCGUUACUCGGAAUCACUGGGCGUAAAGGACGCGUAGGCGGGUUGGAAAGUCAGGUGUGAAAUCCUACAGCUUAACUGUGGAACUGCACUUGAAACUUCUAAUCUAGAGUAUGGGAGGGGGAGAUGGAAUUAGUGGUGUAGGGGUAAAAUCCGUAGAUAUCACUAGGAAUACCUAAAGCGAAGGCGAUCUCCCGGAACAUUACUGACGCUAAGGCGUGAAAGCGUGGGGAGCAAACAGGAUUAGAUACCCCGGUAGUC
rnacentral:rRNA from 1 species